rnacentral:rRNA from 1 species
GGCGAACGGGUGAGUAAUGUAUCGGAACGUGCCCAGUUGUGGGGGAUAACUGCUCGAAAGAGCAGCUAAUACCGCAUACGACCUGAGGGUGAAAGCGGGGGAUCGCAAGACCUCGCGCAAUUGGAGCGGCCGAUAUCAGAUUAGCUAGUUGGUGGGGUAAAGGCCUACCAAGGCAACGAUCUGUAGUUGGUCUGAGAGGACGACCAGCCACACUGGGACUGAGACACGGCCCAGACUCCUACGGGAGGCAGCAGUGGGGAAUUUUGGACAAUGGGCGCAAGCCUGAUCCAGCAAUGCCGCGUGCAGGAAGAAGGCCUUCGGGUUGUAAACUGCUUUUGUCAGGGAAGAAAUCUUCUGGGCUAAUACCCCGGGAGGAUGACGGUACCUGAAGA